rnacentral:rRNA from 2 species
UGGGGAAUAUUGCGCAAUGGGGGCAACCCUGACGCAGCAACGCCGCGUGCAGGAAGAAGGUCUUCGGAUUGUAAACUGUUGUCGCAAGGGAAGAAGACAGUGACGGUACCUUGUGAGAAAGUCACGGCUAACUACGUGCCAGCAGCCGCGGUAAUACGUAGGUGACAAGCGUUGUCCGGAUUUACUGGGUGUAAAGGGCGCGUAGGCGGACUGUCAAGUCAGUCGUGAAAUACCGGGGCUUAACCCCGGGGCUGCGAUUGAAACUGACAGCCUUGAGUAUCGGAGAGGAAAGCGGAAUUCCUAGUGUAGCGGUGAAAUGCGUAGAUAUUAGGAGGAACACCAGUGGCGAAGGCGGCUUUCUGGACGACAACUGACGCUGAGGCGCGAAAGUGUGGGGAGCAAACAGGAUUAGAUACCCUGGUAGUCCACACCGUAAACGAUGGAUACUAGGUGUAGGAGGUAUCGACCCCUUCUGUGCCGCAGUUAACACAAUAAGUAUCCCACCUGGGGAGUACGACCGCAAGGUUGAAACUCAAAGGAAUUGACGGGGGCCCGCACAAGCAGUGGAGUAUUGUGGUUUAAUUCGAAGCAACGCGAAGAACCUUACCUGGGCUUGACAUCCCUGGAAUCGAGUAGAGAUACUUGAGUGCCUUCGGGAAUCAGGUGACAGGUGGUGCAUGGUUGUCGUCAGCUCGUGUCGUGAGAUGUUGGGUUAAGUCCCGCAACGAGCGCAACCCCUAUUGUCAGUUGCCAUCAUUAAGUUGGGCACUCUGGCGAGACUGCCGGUGACAAAUCGGAGGAAGGUGGGGACGACGUCAAAUCAUCAUGCCCCUUAUGCCCAGGGCUACACACGUACUACAAUGGCCGAUAACAAAGUGCAGCGAAACCGUGAGGUGGAGCGAAUCACAAAACUCGGUCUCAGUUCAGAUUGCAGGCUGCAACUCGCCUGCAUGAAGUUGGAAUUGCUAGUAAUCGCUGAUCAGAAUGCCGCGGUGAAUACGUUCCC